rnacentral:snRNA from 1 species
GGAUGUGAGGGUGAUUUGGCUGCCCGUUCAUUUGUUACUCCAUUGAUCACCAGGAUUGGUUUGGCUGAUCUGGCUGGCUAAGAGGAUGUCCCCUUUCUCCCUCGCUGCUCUAUGUGCAUCCCUCCUGAAGCUGUGUGCUUGAUCGAAGAAGACGACCAUCCCUGAUAGCCAAGGACCAUUCUUCACUCAAGGGUAUACAAGUAACUGUGCUCCCCUGCUAUAUCCUCUAAACAAGCUCUCAAAGUUGAACUCAGCUGCCACACUAGGGGCAGAAUCAGCUUAUGAUUUUUCAAAACCAGAAACACUAUUGUCU